rnacentral:rRNA from 1 species
UACGAAGGGGGCUAGCGUUGUUCGGAAUUACUGGGCGUAAAGCGCACGUAGGCGGAUCGAUCAGUCAGGGGUGAAAUCCUAGGGCUCAACCCUGGAACUGCCUUUGAUACUGUCGAUCUGGAGUAUGGAAGAGGUGAGUGGAAUUCCGAGUGUAGAGGUGAAAUUCGUAGAUAUCAGGAGGAACACCGGUGGCGAAAGCGGCUCACUGGCCCGAUAUUGACGCUCAUGUACGAAAGCGUGGGGAGCAAACAGG